ACGACGCUGGCGGCAUGCCUAACACAUGCAAGUCGAACGGAGAAUGUCAAAUGAAGUUUUCGGAUGGAUUUUGGUAUUCUUAGUGGCGGACGGGUGAGUAACGCGUGAGCAACCUGCCUUUCAGUGGGGGACAACAGUUGGAAACGACUGCUAAUACCGCAUGAUACUAUUGAGUGGCAUCAUUUGAUAGUCAAAGAUUUAUUGCUGAGAGAUGGCCUCGCGUCUGAUUAGAUAGUUGGUGGGGUAACGGCCCACCAAGUCGACGAUCAGUAGCCGGUCUGAGAGGAUGAACGGCCACAUUGGGACUGAGACACGGCCCAGACUCCUACGGGAGGCAGCAGUGAGGAAUAUUGGGCAAUGGGCGCAAGCCUGACCCAGCAAUGCCGCGUGAAGGAAGACGGUUUUCGGAUUGUAAACUUCUUUUAAGAGGGACGAUAAUGACGGUACCUCUUGAAUAAGCCACGGCUAACUACGUG
rnacentral:rRNA from 1 species